AGAGUUUGAUCAUGGCUCAGAACGAACGCUGGCGGCAUGCCUAACACAUGCAAGUCGAACGGGAUCCUGACUUCGGUUGGGUGAGAGUGGCGGACGGGUGAGUAACGCGUGGGAACCUGCCCAGUGGUGGGGGAUAACUGCGGGAAACUGCAGCUAAUACCGCAUGAGCCCGAGAGGGGAAAGAUUUAUCGCCAUUGGAGGGGCCCGCGUUCGAUUAGGUAGUUGGUGAGGUAAAGGCUCACCAAGGCGACGAUCCUUAGCUGGUCUGAGAGGAUGAUCAGCCACACUGGGACUGAGACACGGCCCAGACUCCUACGGGAGGCAGCAGUGGGGAAUAUUGGACAAUGGGCGAAAGCCUGAUCCAGCAAUGCCGCGUGAGUGAUGAAGGCCUUAGGGUUGUAAAGCUCUUUUACCCGGGAUGAUAAUGACAGUACCGGGAGAAUAAGCCCCGGCUAACUCCGUG
rnacentral:rRNA from 1 species